rnacentral:rRNA from 1 species
UGCCUAACAGCUAGCCUCAAAAAUAAAAAUUUUACUAUUAUGGACUUAAAAACUCAUAAUAAACUUAAACAAAUCAUUUUACCCCCUGAGUACGGGCGACAGAAAAGGAGAAAAGAGCAACAGAUAAAGUACCGCAAGGGAACGCUGAAAAAGAAAUGAAAUAAACCAUUUAAGCACCAAGCAGCAGAGUUUUCUACUCGUACCUUUUGCAUCAUGAUUUAGCAAGAAAACUACAAGCAAAGAGCCCUUUAGUUUGUAACCCCGAAACUGAGCGAGCUACUCCAAGACAGCCUAUAAAGGGCAAACCCGUCUCUGUGGCAAAAGAGUGGGAAGAGCUUUGAGUAGAGGUGACAAACCUACCGAGCCCAGUUAUAGCUGGUUGCCUGUGAAAUGAAUAGGAGUUCAGCCCUUUAAGUCUUUCCCCCCUCACCCAUGCUUACGCUAAAAUUGAUUAAGGAAACUAAAGGCGUUAAUCAAAAGGGGUACAGCCCUUUUGAUAGAAGAAACAACUUUAACAGGUGACCCAAGAUCAUAUUACCCAAGGAUUUCAAAUUAAGUGGGCCUAAAAGCAGCCAUCUUAUCAGAAAGCGUUAAAGCUCAAAUUAGCCUAUAUCCUCAUAUACUGAUAUUACAUCUCCCUCCCUGCCCCUUACCAGGCUGUCUUAUGCCNCCCAUAAGAACAAUUAUGCUAAAAUGAGUAAUAAGAAGAAUUUAAUUCUUCUCCUAGCACAUGUGUAAGUCGGAACGGACCUCCCACCGACUAUUAAUCGACCCCAAACCCAGAGGGUAAUAGGUCAAAUAAACAAGAAAAACACCUAUUUUGUAUCGUUAACCCCACACAGGUGUGCCUAAAGGAAAGACUAAAAGAGAAGGAAGGAACUCGGCAAACACAAGCCUCGCCUGUUUACCAAAAACAUCGCCUCUUGCUCCAAAAAUAUAAGAGGUCCCGCCUGCCCUGUGACUAUAAGUUUAACGGCCGCGGUAUUUUAACCGUGCGAAGGUAGCGUAAUCACUUGUCUUUUAAAUGAAGACCUGUAUGAAUGGCAUCACGAGGGCUUAGCUGUCUCCCAUCUCCAGUCAAUGAAAUUGACCUCCCCGUGCAGAGGCGGGGAUAAUUACAUAAGACGAGAAGACCCUAUGGAGCUUUAGACCUAAAGUAAGUCACGUUUAACAUGCUAAAAUAACAGAAAAAACUUAGAGAUAUUUACUGAAGUGUCUUUGGUUGGGGCGACCGCGGGGUAAAACACAACCCCCAUGUGGACCGGGGAUAUUAUCCCUAAUACUCAGAGCCUNCUNACUCCAAGUAACAGAAAUUCUGACNUUUUCUGAUCCGGUAUAACCGAUCAACGAACCGAGUUACCCUAGGGAUAACAGCGCAAUCCCCUCUCAGAGCCCAUAUCGACGAGGGGGUUUACGACCUCGAUGUUGGAUCAGGACAUCCUAAUGGUGCAGCCGCUAUUAAGGGUUCGUUUGUUCAACGAUUAAAGUCCUACGUGAUCUGAGUUCAGACCGGAGUAAUCCAGGUCAGUUUCUAUCUAUGACAAGCUCUUUUNCCAGUACGAAAGGACCGGAAAAAGGGGGCCUAUGCCAAAAGCACGCCCCUCCCCUAACCGCUGAAACCCAAUAAAGCGGAUAAGGGGGCUUAAAAAGANCCCCAAAAAGAAUGGGUGU